rnacentral:sRNA from 1 species
UAGUUCUCCCAGACCACAGCCCUCAAAUCUUCACUCUCCCGCCAACAACACAGUUACUCAACAUCUUGUAUGUUACAUAGAUUGUAGCGACAUCACUGUCCUCAGAGAGGCCGGAAAGCGCCUGAUGCUACUACGUUUAUUUUAACAACCGUUUACUCCCGUCGGAGAACUUAGAGGUUCGGAAUCUAGCGAAGUUUGUAUAAAAUGGUUUCAAGUGGGAUCAUCUUCUUGGAAAGGUCGCCAGAGAAGGGUGAAGGAUAUGAAGGUUGUAUUUCAUUUCGCCUACGCGGAGAGCUCUUCAUAUAUCUUUUCCUUAAGUGUACAGCUGACCAAUCUUUCUCCUCCUUCGAGCAUCAUUUUCCUCUUUCUUCCUCUGACUCCGAUCUCCCGAGGACCUCUUCUGAUCCGGUUUCCUCUUCCCUUCUCUCCUCCUCUCCUCUUCCUCUUCUCCUCGGCUAAUCUUUAUCACCUCAAUUCCCCCUUUUUCUCCGCCUCUCGUUUCUUUUUCCGUUCUGUUAGACACUAUCUUUCCUCCGUCCCUUACAGAGCUAUCCCCCCCUUGUCGCGGAGCAUUGAUGACAAAAGAAAAAGACACGGGAAACGAAAAAGAUAUUUGCGGGACAUAGAGAGGAUGAAUAAUAGUAACUUUGUUCCCAGAUGAAUGGCGGAUAUAGCUAGAUAAUAAGUUGGUAGAUGGCAGAUGCGUGACAUGAG